rnacentral:rRNA from 1 species
AAAGUGGAGCAAUCCAUGAGUACAGUGGCGUACGGGUGAGUAACACGUGGAUCAUCUACCUUCUAGUGGGGAAUACCUCCGGGAAACUGGAGACAAUACCGCAUAAGCUCGUAAGAGGAAAGCAGCAAUGCGCUGGAAGAGGAGUCCGCGGCUGAUUAGCUAGUUGGCGGGGUAACGGCCCACCAAGGCGAAGAUCGGUAGCCGGCCUGAGAGGGCACACGGCCACACUGGCACUGAAACACGGGCCAGACUCCUACGGGAGGCAGCAGUGGGGAAUCUUGCACAAUGGAGGAAACUCUGAUGCAGCGACGCCGCGUGAGCGAUGAAGCCCUUCGGGGUGUAAAGCUCUUUCGACGGGAACGAUAAUGACGGUACCCGAAGAAGAAGCUGCGGCUAACUACGUGCCAGCAGCCGCGGUAAUACGUAGGCAGCAAGCGUUGUUCGGAAUUACUGGGCGUAAAGAGUGUGUAGGCGGUGUUCCAAGUCUGUUGUGAAAUCUCCCGGCUUAACUGGGAGGGUGCGGCGGAAACUGGGAUGCUAGAGGAUGGGAGAGGUAAGCGGAAUUCCUGGUGUAGCGGUGAAAUGCGUAGAUAUCAGGAGGAACACCUGUGGUGUAGACAGCUUACUGGACCAUUUCUGACGCUGAGACACGAAAGCGUGGGUAGCAAACAGGAUUAGAUACCCUGGUAGUCCACGCCCUAAACGAUGCAUACUUGGUGUGAGCGAUUCAUUUCGUUCGUGCCGGAGCUAACGCGUUAAGUAUGCCGCCU